ACGGAGGGGGCUAGCGUUGUUCGGAAUUACUGGGCGUAAAGGGUGCGUAGGCGGCGAUCCAAGUCAGGCGUGAAAGCCCCGGGCUCAACCUGGGAGGUGCGCUUGAUACUGGAUUGCUCGAGUCCGGGAGAGGAUAGCGGAAUUCCCAGUGUAGAGGUGAAAUUCGUAGAUAUUGGGAAGAACACCAGUGGCGAAGGCGGCUAUCUGGACCGGCACUGACGCUGAGGCACGAUAGCGUGGGGAGCAAACAGG
rnacentral:rRNA from 1 species